ACGACUUUACUUGAACAAGAUCUGUUCUUUAGGAUUGUACGUCUGUUUCCUUGAUCACAAAGGAGACGGGAACGCAAACCUUGUGGAUGAAUCGUGGCUGUGUGAUCAGAGCGUGAUUAAUGGUUAGAUGAGUUCGUGGAGUCCCAUCCAUUGAGCCGUAGAGGAUCAUUCUCAGCUGGUUCAGCCAUUUGAGAUGGUUGGGAUGGCACACGGCUGUCUGACAGGUC